UGGGGAAUUUUGGACAAUGGGCGCAAGCCUGAUCCAGCCAUUCCGCGUGAGUGAAGAAGGCCUUCGGGUCGUAAAGCUCUUUCGCAAGGGAAGAAAACUUAUCCUCUAACAUAGGAUGAGGUUGACGGUACCUUGAUAAGAAGGACCGGCUAACUACGUGCCAGCAGCCGCGGUAAUACGUAGGGUCCGAGCGUUAAUCGGAAUUACUGGGCGUAAAGCGUGCGCAGGCGGUUUUGUAAGCCAGUCGUGAAAUCCCCGGGCUUAACCUGGGAAUGGCGAUUGGGACUGCAAGGCUCGAGUGCGGCAGAGGGGGGUGGAAUUCCACGUGUAGCAGUGAAAUGCGUAGAUAUGUGGAGGAACACCGAUGGCGAAGGCAGCCCCCUGGGCCGAUACUGACGCUCAGGCACGAAAGCGUGGGGAGCAAACAGG
rnacentral:rRNA from 1 species